GGACACGCUAAAAAGCUAACGGCGGACACGAUAUUUAUAUAUAUAUAUAUGUAUGGGACGCCGAACAGCGCAUCGCCAUAAAAUAAAAGAAGAAAAAGGCAAGUGGCGAAUUCGGCUGGGAAGGCAACGAAAACGUGGGAAAAAAGGUGUAUCCAGUGACAGGGUUUCCUAUUCUGGUCAGUCCAUCUAAUUCAAAGGGGCGUUCUCCGGCCCAUGUGUGACACUCAUCCUUCUGUAACGCGUUGCUUUUAUAACUGGAUGCACUGCGAGGCCUGCGGCUCCAGGGGAAAUUUAAUUAUUUGCGUUUAGAACUGUAUGGUGCAGUCAAAUUUGAGGUCGCUUGGGAACGUAAGAUAUAUUCUGCGGUUCAGCCCCGGUACUGAUCGCUCGAUGGGUGUGCAUGCCAAACAGCCCCGUGGCUGCGGCCCCACGCUGACAAAUAAUCGCCACUGAAACGUUGAAUGCAUGUGCGUCUUGGUGCACUGAAAGCAUGUCCAAGCUGAAGAUAUAAUACGUUCGUCGGUGUGCAGUCAGGAGUUCCGUAGGAUGUGACACUCGGCCCGGCGACGCCACCCUCCGGCGAUUCUGCAAGAGAGUGCCUGCCAUCCUUCUGUUUGUGGCGACGCGUAGAGCAAGGACGAGAGAUGCCACGCAGGGCGAGCUCGCCGAAGUUCCCUCGAAACCUGGUCCUGAUCCAAGCUCCGCAGGUGCCAAGAGAAAGCAGAACGAACAUCUAUCCUGGAACGCGCCAAUAUCACCCGGUUUUCACUCCAGCCCGACAGGUUAAAGCCCGUUCCCCUUAUUGCAUGCCGUUUUCCCUGCAGGCGCAUCUUCCGAAACCGGCGGGAUAGGCAGGAUACGGUGGACGACUGCCCUGGGGUGGUCGGCCAAAAUGAAUGCCCCGCUUCAGUUGCCCGUUCAGACUGCUCUCCUCCUUGCGUUAGCAUGUUCUCUGGCGAUCUGUUUGCUGAUCGCGUACGUCACGUUCGUAUUUCUACCCUGUGGAAGGCGAGUGCAGAAGAGACGGAGAGAGACUGCACCAGAUUUUGCGGGCCAGCUUGAUGGCAUGGGUAACCUCCGCAGAAGAGGAAGCAUAGAAUGCAUGCAGUAUGAUGGAUACUGAAAGUCCCCCAGUAACGUACUCAUGCUUGAGCGAAGGCGCUUCAGGCCUUUUUUCGUAUACAUUUUUUGGUUCCAUCCCUUCUCUGUUCACUUUUUGGAAGUGCGCGCGACGCUGCACCGGCAGCCAACUUUAUCCACAGACCCAUCAGCGUUUAUUUCAAGGGGCAUUUAAAACAUCCGUGUGUCUGCAGCUGUAGAACAGACAGAGGGGUUUUGUUAGAUUCUUGACCUGGCGCCUGUUGAGUAACCGGAUGAACGCCUUUUUCGUUAUCAAAAAUUCAU
rnacentral:lncRNA from 1 species